GUUCUAUGACAUGAUCUGUAUCUAAGACCACACCUGCUCCAAUAGGUUGUUUGUUUAUUCUUUGAUUCAAUUCAUUCUUUUAGUCUCUUUUUAUUCCUUAGCCCAUAUGCCAUGCCUAGAUUGUGAUGGAUCACUAUUCUACAUAUAAAUGUUUAUCACCUGCUAUGACUUUUGAUUCCAUUAUUGCUAUCAUAAUUACUUUGAUCUAUGCUUAUCUUAGAAUCCUUAACAUAUUAAGCCUUCCUUAGAGCGAACCUAUAAAUACGACACUCGGUAAAACCCCG
rnacentral:lncRNA from 1 species